GUCGAACGAACUCUGGUAUUGAUUGGUGCUUGCAUCAUGAUUUACAUUUGAGUGAGUGGCGAACUGGUGAGUAACACGUGGGAAACCUGCCCAGAAGCGGGGGAUAACACCUGGAAACAGAUGCUAAUACCGCAUAACAACUUGGACCGCAUGGUCCGAGUUUGAAAGAUGGCUUCGGCUAUCACUUUUGGAUGGUCCCGCGGCGUAUUAGCUAGAUGGUGGGGUAACGGCUCACCAUGGCAAUGAUACGUAGCCGACCUGAGAGGGUAAUCGGCCACAUUGGGACUGAGACACGGCCCAAACUCCUACGGGAGGCAGCAGUAGGGAAUCUUCCACAAUGGACGAAAGUCUGAUGGAGCAACGCCGCGUGAGUGAAGAAGGGUUUCGGCUCGUAAAACUCUGUUGUUAAAGAAGAACAUAUCUGAGAGUAACUGUUCAGGUAUUGACGGUAUUUAACCAGAAAGCCACGGCUAACUACGUGCCAGCAGCCGCGGUAAUACGUAGGUGGCAAGCGUUGUCCGGAUUUAUUGGGCGUAAAGCGAGCGCAGGCGGUUUUUUAAGUCUGAUGUGAAAGCCUUCGGCUCAACCGAAGAAGUGCAUCGGAAACUGGGAAACUUGAGUGCAGAAGAGGACAGUGGAACUCCAUGUGUAGCGGUGAAAAUGCGUAGAUAUAUGGAAGAACACCAGUGGCGAAGGCGGCUGUCUGGUCUGUAACUGACGCUGAGGCUCGAAAGUAUGGGUAGCAAACAGGAUUAGAUACCCUGGUAGUCCAUACCGUAAACGAUGAAUGCUAAGUGUUGGAGGGUUUCCGCCCUUCAGUGCUGCAGCUAACGCAUUAAGCAUUCCGCCUGGGGAGUACGGCCGCAAGGCUGAAACUCAAAGGAAUUGACGGGGGCCCGCACAAGCGGUGGAGCAUGUGGUUUAAUUCGAAGCUACGCGAAGAACCUUACCAGGUCUUGACAUACUAUGCAAAUCUAAGAGAUUAGACGUUCCCUUCGGGGACAUGGAUACAGGUGGUGCAUGGUUGUCGUCAGCUCGUGUCGUGAGAUGUUGGGUUAAGUCCCGCAACGAGCGCAACCCUUAUUAUCAGUUGCCAGCAUUAAGUUGGGCACUCUGGUGAGACUGCCGGUGACAAACCGGAGGAAGGUGGGGAUGACGUCAAAUCAUCAUGCCCCUUAUGACCUGGGCUACACACGUGCUACAAUGGAUGGUACAACGAGUUGCGAACUCGCGAGAGUAAGCUAAUCUCUUAAAGCCAUUCUCAGUUCGGAUUGUAGGCUGCAACUCGCCUACAUGAAGUCGGAAUCGCUAGUAAUCGCGGAUCAGCAUGCCGCGGUGAAUACGUUCCCGGGCCUUGUACACACCGCCCGUCACACCAUGAGAGUUUGUAACACCCAAAGUCGGUGGGGUAACCUUUUAGGAACCAGCCGCCU
rnacentral:rRNA from 1 species